AGGGUCAGGUGACUGCGGUGACUUCCCGGGCUUCCGGCGUUAGUUGAGUCUUUGUUUUUGCUGUGUGGAGGCGGUGAAGGCUUUGCAGGAAGUAGACAGCUGGACCCGGGCGGUGGCGGGGUUGAAACCCCGGAGUUUGAGAGCUGAGACUUGCCAGUUCCCACAGGCCAAGCCAGGCCUCUGCACCCCGUCGCUUGGCUCCGACGAAUAUGCUCUCCAUGAGGGUGCUCUUCAGGAUCUCCCACAAUGGCUGGUACUGGAGAAGUCCACAAAAUGGCCUUUGUGAAGACCAAAGCAAUAAGGGAAUUAAGGCCAUGUGUGACACCAACAAUUUCAGCUGAAUGUCAGCCUUUAUUGAGUUGGACUUGCACAUCCAUGGAUUUCGGUAUCGGAGGGAGGUCCUGGAACCCAUCCACUACGGAUAUCCAGGGACGACUGUAUAUCAAAAUAAAAAUUUAAACAAGGUGGGUGAAAUGUGCAAAAUGAUACUAUUGUGGGCCUUAUAUUUUGGUCAAGAGAGAUAGUCUUUUUCUGCUGAAAUGAAGACAGCAGUGGGAGAGGUGUGGAAAGGAAUAGAAGUUAUGGUUGAAGGAAUGAGAGGACUGAGUCAGUCCUCAGAUGGAACAUGACAAUGGCCUUGACCAAUUAGGCUUCCGUGCACUGCCCUCCUGACCUGGAUGCCUACAUACGCUGCGUGGUGUCUUUGUCAUAUGGAGUUUUCUGAGCUACAUCAGGUUUCCAAGCUAGUUUUCAUUCUCUUGGUGUUUCUUAUAAUCAACACUUAAGCUCCUCUUACAGAUCUAAGCUAAACACCACGUAAAGCCAAGUUUUUUUUUUUUUUUUUUUUUUUUUUUCUACAGUGUUAUGGAGAAAGAGGAUUAAGUUUUAUAGGGGGAGAAGACAGGCGUUUAAAUUUAGACCUCAUGGAUGAAAGCAAGCCUCACGCUGCAUCUGAAUCAGAAACAAGGCAGAGUCAUUUCUUUAUUCUAAAAGCCAACGGCUGCUCAGAGACAAGCAGAUUGAACCACUUCCUCCCUGCGCAGAAAUUCUCAGGGUAUACACACGCACACAUUUACAUACGCAUAUGGUUAGAAGAACAAAGAAAAGAAGCAAAAAAAAAACUAAUUCACUGAUGAUGUCAUUUGCAACUUCAGAGCAUAGUUAUAUGUCUCAUAUCACCUGAUUUCCUCCAAAAAAGCAUGUUUCAGGAGUCCAGGCAAGUCUCUCAUAGCAGGAAGUUUAGGAGUUACAUUGUAGACAAGCACUCAUCAAGUAAUCAAGUCAGGCUAGUUACUGAGGCGGGGGUGGUGCUGAAAGGAAAGGAAAG